rnacentral:sRNA from 1 species
CCUCCUCGAUCUGCUGCGGGCAGAUGAAGUGGAUAUGCGCAUCCAUGCCGCCGGCGGUGAUGAUCUUGCCUUCUCCGGCAAUCGCUUCGGUGCCGGGACCAACGAUGAUGUUGACGUCAGGCUGCGUGUCCGGAUUGCCGGCUUUGCCAAUAGCGACGAUGCGCCCGUCCUUGAGCCCGAUAUCGGCCUUCACGAUGCCCCAGUGAUCGAGGAUGAGAGCAUUGGUGAUGACGGUAUCGACGGCGCCGUCCGCUCGCGUCACCUGGCUCUGGCCCAUGCCGUCACGGAUG